ensembl:lncRNA
GGCGACCCUUGAGGUGGGGGUUCUGUCAUAUGCUGUGGGAGUGUCUGGUUGGGUGUGGUCCAGGUUCCUGUUGUCCGUCCCCUGGGGUGGAGUUGGCUAGCUCAUCACCUGCUUCCAAUUUCCGGGGCUCCACCUAGAGGGUUUUUAAGCUACUCCUUGCCAGUUCGUCCUGCUACCACCCGUGAUUCAUCACCCGUCGUACACACCAGCAGUGCUGGUUCUGUUUCCGUCCCGUUCUCCCGUCUGCCCAGAACCCGAGGACCACACACUCAUCUUCUCCUCAGCCUGCCCUCCAGCCCGUACUUCAACCUCCCUGGACACCUUGGAACCUGGACCAGCCUCCCCACACUCUCAACCAUCCCUGGAAUGCUCCCACGGCAACCCCUUCCCCCCCUAAUAGCCGGUGUUUUCAAAAGUUCCCGCCCAUGUUCUCCCUGUGUUCUACGUCCGUUUCUCCGCCCUCAGGCCUCCCUCAGUUCCUGCGAAUGAUUUCUGUUAGACCCAGUCUUGUUUAAGUUCCUUUUCCUUUCAAUAAAUUGUACAUCGUUCGAGCAAUUGAGUCUGCUCUUGAGUCCACUGCAUCCUUGUUUGUGACACAUAAAGCUACGUCCAGAUGAACAGAAUCAACUUUUGGAGAUGUCAACAUAGUUGUUUCUUUGCAGGAAGGUAGAUAGCCUUUGGGCCAAGACACUGAAGAAGCUCUUUCCUUCUACGUUCAGCAGACUGAUCUGACGAAACUGGCUGAUGGAUGAGGAGUUCUUGUCCUUAGGGAUCAGAAUACCUCCUGCUCUCCGCCAAGCCUUUGGAAUUGCUCCUUUCUGCCACGCUACCUUCACAUACAUGGUCUUAAAUAAUCAGGCCCCAUCUUAUCUUAAUGACCUUGUAGUAGGACUGUUUUGAAAACACGG